rnacentral:miRNA from 1 species
AACCUUGGUCUAUCAGACCUAG